AUGAUACAAAAGCUUCCUCACCCAACCAACAUUCCGGCUUCCAUCUUCACAUCUCACGACCAAUACCCACCCUUCUUCUUUUCGUUCAUCCGCGGAUCACCACCCGUUUGUUCUCCCUCCGACCGAACCAUCAUCAUCAUACUCUCUUGGCUUCUUCCACCGGCCACGACCCUGACAAAUCCAGUGACCACUUCAACACCUCACAACAUAGUCCAACUUCAAUUCCUCCAACCUUCAAUCAAUUGGGAUUCUUAUCCGAUAUGUCGUGAUCAUCCGAUGCUUUGA